rnacentral:rRNA from 1 species
GACGAACGCUGGCGGCGUGCCUAAUACAUGCAAGUUGAGCGCUGAAGGUUGGUACUUGUACCAACUGGAUGAGCAGCGAACGGGUGAGUAACGCGUGGGGAAUCUGCCUUUGAGCGGGGGACAACAUUUGGAAACGAAUGCUAAUACCGCAUAAAAACUUUAAACACAAGUUUUAAGUUUGAAAGAUGCAAUUGCAUCACUCAAAGAUGAUCCCGUGUUGUAUUAGCUAGUUGGUGAGGUAAAGGCUCACCAAGGCGAUGAUACAUAGCCGACCUGAGAGGGUGAUCGGCCACAUUGGGACUGAGACACGGCCCAAACUCCUACGGGAGGCAGCAGUAGGGAAUCUUCGGCAAUGGACGAAAGUCUGACCGAGCAACGCCGCGUGAGUGAAGAAGGGUUUCGGAUCGUAAAACUCUGUUGGUAGAGAAGAACGUUGGUGAGAGUGGAAAGCUCAUCAAGUGACGGUAACUACCCAGAAAGGGACGGCUAACUACGUG